rnacentral:rRNA from 1 species
AUUGAACGCUGGCGGCAGGCCUAACACAUGCAAGUCGAGCGGAUGAAGGGAGCUUGCUCCUGGAUUCAGCGGCGGACGGGUGAGUAAUGCCUAGGAAUCUGCCUGGUAGUGGGGGAUAACGUCCGGAAACGGGCGCUAAUACCGCAUACGUCCUGAGGGAGAAAGUGGGGGAUCUUCGGACCUCACGCUAUCAGAUGAGCCUAGGUCGGAUUAGCUAGUUGGUGUGGUAAAGGCCUACCAAGGCGACGAUCCGUAACUGGUCUGAGAGGAUGAUCAGUCACACUGGAACUGAGACACGGUCCAGACUCCUACGGGAGGCAGCAGUGGGGAAUAUUGGACAAUGGGCGAAAGCCUGAUCCAGCCAUGCCGCGUGUGUGAAGAAGGUCUUCGGAUUGUAAAGCACUUUAAGUUGGGAGGAAGGGCAGUAAGCUAAUACCUUGCUGUUUUGACGUUACCAACAGAAUAAGCACCGGCUAACUUCGUG